AGAGCGAACGCUGGCGGCAGGCCUAACACAUGCAAGUCGAACGGACUCUUCGGAGUUAGUGGCGGACGGGUGAGUAACACGUGGGAACGUGCCUUUAGGUUCGGAAUAGCUCCUGGAAACGGGUGGUAAUGCCGAAUGUGCCCUUCGGGGGAAAGAUUUAUCGCCUUUAGAGCGGCCCGCGUCUGAUUAGCUAGUUGGUGAGGUAAAGGCUCACCAAGGCUACGAUCAGUAGCUGGUCUGAGAGGAUGACCAGCCACAUUGGGACUGAGACACGGCCCAAACUCCGUACGGGAGCAGCAGGUGGGGAAUCGUUGCGCAAGUGGGACGAAAGGCCCUGACCGCAGCCAGUCGCCGCGUAGAACUGAUGAAGGUCUUAGGUAUUAGUAAAAUUCUUACGAGUACGGGAGAAUAAGUGACGUACCUAAGA
rnacentral:rRNA from 1 species